rnacentral:rRNA from 1 species
AUGCAAGUCGAACGAUGAAGCUGGAGCUUGCUCCGGUGGAUUAGUGGCGAACGGGUGAGUAACACGUGAGCAAUCUGCCCUUGACUCUGGGAUAACUGCGGGAAACUGUAGCUAAUACCGGAUACGAGACUUGGAGGCAUCUCCAGGUCUGGAAAGAAUUUCGGUCAAGGAUGAGCUCGCGGCCUAUCAGCUAGUUGGUGAGGUAAUGGCUCACCAAGGCGACGACGGGUAGCCGGCCUGAGAGGGUGACCGGCCACACUGGGACUGAGACACGGCCCAGACUCCUACGGGAGGCAGCAGUGGGGAAUAUUGCACAAUGGGCGAAAGCCUGAUGCAGCAACGCCGCGUGAGGGAUGAAGGCCUUCGGGUUGUAAACCUCUUUUAGCAGGGAAGAAGCGAAAGUGACGGUACCUGCAGAAAAAGCACCGGCUAACUACGUGCCAGCAGCCGCGGUAAUACGUAGGGUGCAAGCGUUGUCCGGAAUUAUUGGGCGUAAAGAGCUCGUAGGCGGUUUGUCGCGUCUGCUGUGAAAAUCCGAGGCUCAACCUCGGACUUGCAGUGGGUACGGGCAGACUAGAGUGCAGUAGGGGAGAAGGGAAUUCCUGGUGUAGCGGUGGAAUGCGCAGAUAUCAGGAGGAACACCGAUGGCGAAGGCACUUCUCUGGGCUGUAACUGACGCUGAGGAGCGAAAGCGUGGGGAGCGAACAGGAUUAGAUACCCUGGUAGUCCACGCCGUAAACGUUGGGCGCUAGAUGUGGGCCACAUUCCACGUGGUCCGUGUCGCAGCUAACGCAUUAAGCGCCCCGCCUGGGGAGUACGGCCGCAAGGCUAAAACUCAAAGGAAUUGACGGGGGCCCGCACAAGCGGCGGAGCAUGCGGAUUAAUUCGAUGCAACGCGAAGAACCUUA